UCAAACAAUCGCAGGGUAAAUUAGGCCUGGUAAGGAACAGUGAAGUCGAACUAAUAAAACUGCAGUGCUAGCUCCUCCUUGUCAUAGCACGGCUGAUGGUGCUGCAUGCAAAUCAGGUCUUCUGUCAUAACCAUCUAAAGAGAAACGUCUCACUUGACUUGCUUUUACUGGAAAGAAAGAAAGAAAGAAAGAAAG